rnacentral:rRNA from 1 species
UACGUAGGUGGCAAGCGUUAUCCGGAUUUAUUGGGCGUAAAGCGAGCGCAGGCGGAAAGAUAAGUCUGAUGUGAAAGCCCCCGGCUUAACCGAGGAAUUGCAUCGGAAACUGUGUUUCUUGAGUGCAGAAGAGGAGAGUGGAACUCCAUGUGUAGCGGUGAAAUGCAUAGAUAUCACGCAGAACUCCGAUUGCGAAGGCAGCAUACCGGCGCCCGACUGACGCUGAAGCACGAAAGCGUGGGUAUCGAACAGG